AUCUUAUCGAGAGUGGUGGAGGGACAGGCCCGAAGAAACCACGGCAACCUUGUUUAGUAACAGGUGCCAAAUCCUGAGCAGUGUAACUGCGAAGAUAAGAA
rnacentral:ncRNA from 2 species